rnacentral:lncRNA from 1 species
AAAGAUAUUAUUUCAAUUCGGUUUCCUGCUUCUACAAUCAGUUCAGCUUAAUCUUUAGAAAAAGUAGUCCUCCUGUCCUCCUUUUUAGUCUCAGUUACUUUCUCGUUCGUAGAUAGCACUAUCCCAUUGAACUGUUGUGAAGCCCAGAACAACCCGAGAAGGUAAAUUAUUUGUGAGAAGGACAACAGAUAAAUUAGAUUCUUAGUAUUAUUUAGGAGGACAUGUUCCAUAUUUUACCAAAAUCUCAGCGUCCAAUACAGAGCAUGAUAUGUCGUUUGCAAAAAGGGGACUACCAAAACUAUAUUUUUUUUCCUGUCAAUUCAGAAUGAAAGGAAAAUUUUCAUUAAAGUUCAAAGAAAAGGUAACAUUAUUUCUGCCCAG